rnacentral:rRNA from 2 species
CCUGGUGGUUUGAGCGGGGUGGUACCACCCGUUCCCAUCCCGAACACGGAAGUGAAACGCCCCAGCGCGGAGGAUACUGAGGGGUCUCCCCUUGUGGAAAAUAAGUCACUGCCAGGA